GACGAAGGGGGCUAGCGUUGUUCGGAAUUACUGGGCGUAAAGCGCGUGUAGGCGGUUAUCCAAGUCAGGUGUGAAAGCCUUGAGCUCAACUCAAGAAAUGCACUUAGUACUGGGUGACUAGAGGACCGGAGAGGAUAGUGGAAUUCCCAGUGUAGUGGUGAAAUGCGCAGAUAUCGGGAGGAACACCGGUGGCGAAGGCGGUUCUCUGGGCCUUACCUGACGCUGAGGAGCGAAAGCGUGGGGAGCGAACAGG
rnacentral:rRNA from 1 species